GAAUACUGUCCGGGCUGAGGUGAGGGCGGAUUUUCUCCGCCCGAGAGGGAAUGCGGUCAGGAGCGAUCCGAAGCCGCAGCCGCCCCCGCGACCGUAAGCGGCGGUCUGCCACGAAUCCCACUGGCCCGCGGGCUGGGAAGGGGUGGCGGGACGAGUGCCGCGAGCCGGGAAACCUGCCUCGGUCGGUGCAACCCU
rnacentral:ncRNA from 1 species